GGCGCUCUGCAGCUCUGCUCGUGUGGCGGAUUGCGGCACCGCGCGCUGCCCGCCUGGUGCCUAAAAAUAAAGCGUGUCCUCGUGGUGUGAGUACCGAUAGGAGCGUAGGCCUCGCGUCCGCGCCGUGCGGAGCGGCGCUGCCCGCGGGAGCACCGCGGCAGGGGCUGUGCGGGGAGCCUGGCCUGCCCGCUGCGAGCCGGCCUGUCUGGGCGCGGCGUGCCGCCCUGUCAGAGCGCUGGGGCUCUUAGCUUUGCUCGUGCGGGUGCGUUGGGAGCAGCAGCACUGCUGUGGUCCUGUUUUCUGAAUGAACCGCACGUGCACCUGGCGUGCUUUUAUGAAAACAAGCACCUUUCUCCCAUAUUAGUGCUUCAUAUCCCCGGUGGAGGUGGGGGUAAGAAAGCAGCCAAAAAUCAUGUGUGCCAUCCAACGUUCCCUAAUCAUAAGUGGUGAGCAGUCAAAGGUGAAAAGGACAAGCAAGGACAGUAAGACUGGAGCACCUGUGGCAGCUGGAUUAGUUCCUGAAUUUCUCAACUGCUGCUCUGUUUCCUACCUCCACAGAAUUUCUGCUACAACAGCUCUUAUAAACAUUGCUGCUAAAACUUAAAACUUGUAGUUAGGUGCCUGCAUUUUGAUGCACGAAAUGCUUUUAGCUGUAUCUGAGUAUUUAAAAAUGAUAGUUUAGCAGAUAUUUUAAGGGGAAAAAAGUAUCUUUUUUAGUGUGCGAGCUGAUUUUUUUUUAACAAGCUGGAAAAGCUGGGAACUUGAACAGCAUGAUAAAAAAUAUGAAUCAAAUCAACUUCUAAAUCAUUUGCUCAAUCUACACUGU
rnacentral:lncRNA from 1 species